rnacentral:rRNA from 1 species
CGGGUGAGUAACGCGUGGAUAACCUGCCUCACACGUGGGGAUAACAGUUAGAAAUGACUGCUAAUACCGCAUAAGCGCACAGUACCGCAUGGUACAGUGUGAAAAACUCCGGUGGUGUGAGAUGGAUCCGCGUCUGAUUAGCCAGUUGGCGGGGUAACGGCCCACCAAAGCGACGAUCAGUAGCCGACCUGAGAGGGUGACCGGCCACAUUGGGACUGAGACACGGCCCAA